CUCUGCCAGCCCAACUCAGUGGGAGGAAGCAGAGGCCAAAGUAACAGCUGAGUUUAAGUCACCUUAAAAUUCCUGUUCAUUCACAAUUGAUUCCAUGCUCCCAAACCCCUGAUCCCAACCUCCUCAAGCCCUGUGUUUCAACAGGAACACGAGUUUGUGUUUUUCCUUCAGUCAAUACAUUCCAGAUCUGUCAAGACACAGAAAACAACUUACUGAUACAAUCAUGAAGAGAGCAAACUCCAAAGGCAAAUGAAAAUGGCUGCGUUUAGACCUCAGUUGUCAAGGCUGCAUCUUGACUUUCAAGUACAUGAGAGUGGCACUGCUGAGUUUUGAGUGUCAUUAAAGUGUAAUGAGGUACCACUGCUAAUGACAAGGUUUAGUUUUAGAAAACCCUGAUAUCGAGCCUGUGUGCUUCCUAAAAUGGGGUUUUUCUCCUUUUCUUGCCUAACUGCUGGCCAGGAGAUCAAAUUCUAACAGGUACUUUAUAAACACACUGUCAAAGGAGGUUUUAACAACUACGACAUGAGCAUUCACAGAGAAGUUUCACAGCUUCUCAAAAGACAACCAGAGCUUGAACAUCACCAACCCUUAAGAGGCUUUUAACAUUUGGUUUACACCUUUUCAUACACUUUUAGUGACAUGGUUUUGUGGUGUAUCUGGAGUCCUGGGGUAAAGGUUGGACUUGAUGAUCUUAAAGGUCUUUUCCAACGUGGCUGAUUCUAAUACUGUGCUCUAAAAUGUCUCUUGCCUACUGUAUUUAACAUUUAGUUCAAUUUACAAAGUGCAAACAGGGCAGAUUAAAAGAGCCAGGCAGAUACACAGGGAAAUUUCAGCUGAACAGAUAGUUAUUCUUCUGGCAAGAAAGUGCUAAGGGCUCACCAGUGGCAGAAUAAGUAAUCAUCAUGCUGCUAAACUGCCAAAAUUCACUCAGGCUGCAGCAUGACCUGCAUGCAAACCCAGCCAUGAAGCAGAAAUGAAAUGCUCAAGGCAGACUCCAACAUGAAUGCAGAUGCUCCAGUUCUGCUCCAGAGCACUGUGCUCCAGUACUGCAGCAGCCUGUAUCUACCCAGAGUAAUUGCAGGUGAAGCCAGGAACAGCUCCUAUCAUAGCUGAAGCUAUUAAAGCUCCUUAAUGAAUGGUCUAACAAUAACCCAGGCAUAACCAGUUCUCUCAUUGCGAGGGCCUUAACCAUAAUAAGCCCCUUGAACAUUCCUAUAGUGUUUUCCAAAGAUCUCACAGCAUGAAGCUACUAACUGUGCUCUCACAGCCUUGUGAGGCAGAGAUUACUCAAUCUUUUUUUUCUCCUUUCAUUUAAAUACAGAUAAAAAACUGAGGCAAAAGCUAGCAAACGACUUGCCUGUGGAUACCCAGCUGACUGGUGCCAUGCAGGAUCCAGAUCUUCCAGAUUCCAGCCCUGUCAUCAGCCAAAAGGCCAUCAUUAUGAAGAAAGAAAUUAGUCUGGUCUUAUAAAUAGCAUUUGAAUAUAAGCCUGCCUAAAGUAUUUGCAAGGAGCUGACCUUAAAACACCAGCAGAGCUGCACUGGAUACAGCAUAAACUUUACCUGAACCAGUCAAAAGAAGCAUCAAGGAACAUACAAGAAGCCCUGAACUGAAAGGCAGAUUGUCACAAACCAAGAACACCUGUGUGCUUCAGUAAGACCUACAAAGCCACAGCAGGAGUGAUGCCUGCUCUGAAGAGAUUAGCAUCAUCUAAAAGAUGAAUAGUUAAGAAACACAGGAGAGCACAAGGAAAUAGGUAUUUAUGCUCUCUGUACCUGCACUUUACUGCUUUCCCCUGUGCACUGGAAGGAUCAGGGUGUAAGUUUUCUUCCUCCACCUGCCUCACCACAAAAACCCCUCCAGAAGUCCUGUAAAGACAAACCCCCCAUCUAGAUGUUUAAUGAAACACCCAGUGAGUUCCCAUAUUCACCCCAGUGCAAUGGGCACAUCCACAACUUUUGGAAGAGCCCCAGUUGAAUUUACUUAAAGGAAUUCUUUGCAGAUUUACCGCUAGCACACAGGAGUGCAUCUACCACACAGCAACAGCCAGAGCUGUUUACAAAGCUUUCUGCUCAGUGUUAGACUGAAAAUCCAAACUCUUUUUGCUGUGUAAUAAAUCAGUGCUCUGCGUUUAACAAUUUUCAGCAGCACCAUAUGCUAUGUGGUCCCAUAUGUUCCAUUACAGGGAAGAAAAACAUCAUCUCAACAUGAAUCAUCAGUGACUAUAUUCUGUAAAUCUGGCUUAAACUCUCACAGCGCUCAAAGGCAACCCCAAAUAAAUCUGCUCAAUUUUAGGCCAGAUUCUGUGUACCAGAAUUGCAGAUCAUUUAGUUAAAAUUAAGGGGAAAAAAAGAGCUUUAAUGUAGGAGUAAGCACACUAUUUGCAUCUCUCCAGAAGCAGCCUCACCAAGCACAAAAUUUGGCACCCAUUUAUCAAUUCCAAUCUAAUAAUGACAUCCUGCUCAUAAAAUGAUAAUAUCUGGUAGUCAUAACACCUUUCAUCUAAACUGCUUAAUGUCUGUGAAAAUAUGUACACUACAUACAAGAUUCAUUCCUCCCAGUGCUGCAAAGCAGCUACUCUGGAACAUGGCAUUUGCCAUGUUCUGCAUCACAGCCAUUCUGGAGAGGAGUUUGUAAGAAAAGUAAAAAACCCAAACAAAGCCAAAACAAACCCAUGUUUGCAUGUCAGGCUAUAGGGAAACACAGCAGGCAGUGGGUAGCUUCCUACAGAGAAGUUUAUGCAGGACUUUGGGGGUUAACAUCUCCACUCUUAAAGUGACAAACAGCUUUCUCUCUCUUCCCAAAGCCACUGCUGCUUGUGCUGAAUCAGUCACAAAGGCCUGAAGGCACGGCACGCCAAGGUCACCAAGUGCCCUUCUUCUGAGGAAUAACUUGGUCUCUUGGGCAACCCAGCAUCAGAAUUAACAGAAUGACAGCAAAAACGAUGUGCAGAUGGGGGGGGUUCACUAGUUACAAACUUUAAAUGCAACCCGAUGAAGAUUUGUUCAGCUGAAUGAGUUAUGUUCUCGAGAUUUUGCCCAAUUAACCCCCACUAUCCAACCAUGACCCAUUAUAUUAAUAUGCAGAAAGACAGACUGAAAUUAAGCUUAAUUUUGAACUUAAUGUCCUUAUUUGAAAGCCUUUUGUAGCUCAGGAGGAAGACACGCAACUACACGUUCCCACUUCACUACUGGCUUCAUUAAACUCGACAGAAACCAGAGUCCAUUUUAACCUAAUAUUCAAGGUUGGGGAAAAAACAGUAAUUACAUCCACAUCAAGCUAUUACCUGUUCAAGGGCAUAAGUGCUUCAUUAACAGCUCAGACAAACUUGUUUUGUAAGCUGCCUAGAUUAAAUAUGAAAUUUCCCUGCCCUUACAAAUCAAAUGAACAAUUUUUGACACAAAGGGAAAGUCCAGUAAGAACAACACAAACACAAGGCUGAGGAUAUAAACAAGCCAACUUCCAGACUGCCCAAAUCCCAUGCAUUCCUUGCCAUCUUCAGUAAGAAUGAGCUUACCCAAGCCACCCAGCCCACCUCAUUUCAAUAACUUCUUU